GUGAGGAAUAUUGGUCAAUGGACGAGAGUCUGAACCAGCCAAGUCGCGUGAAGGAAGACGGUUCUAUGAAUUAUAAACUUCUUUUGUGCAGGAAUAAAGUGGGGUACGUGUAACCUUUUGUAUGUACUGUACGAAUAAGGAUCGGCUAACUCCGUGCCAGCAGCCGCGGUAAUACGGAGGAUCCGAGCGUUAUCCGGAUUUAUUGGGUUUAAAGGGUGCGUAGGUGGAUUGAUAAGUCAGCGGUGAAAGUUUGCAGCUUAACUGUAAAAUUGCCGUUGAAACUGUCGGUCUUGAGUGCAAAUGAGGUAGGCGGAAUGUGUUGUGUAGCGGUGAAAUGCUUAGAUAUAACACAGAACUCCGAUUGCGAAGGCAGCUUACUGGGAUGCAACUGACACUGAUGCACGAAAGCGUGGGUAUCAAACAGGAUUAGAAACCCCAGAAGUCC
rnacentral:rRNA from 1 species